ensembl:ncRNA C04A2.13 ncRNA
UAGUCACCGAAGGAAAAGAGAGAGAGAGAGGUAGAGAGAGACAACCCGAGAGACGAGACAACCGAUGUAUGUUUGCGAUCAAAAACAGUUCGACGGUGACAGUGACGACCUCAAAGCAGACCGCCACUGUGUCUUGGCUUUCCAUGACGUGGCAACUUUUUCAAAAUAUGAAAUAACUCAUUACAAGUGUUGUUGUGCUCUUUCAUUCAACCAAACAGUGAGG